AUUGAACGCUGGCGGCAUGCUUUACACAUGCAAGUCGAACGGUAACAGGCCGCAAGGUGCUGACGAGUGGCGAACGGGUGAGUAAUGCAUCGGAACGUGCCCAGUCGUGGGGGAUAACGCAGCGAAAGCUGCGCUAAUACCGCAUACGAUCUAUGGAUGAAAGCGGGGGACCGUAAGGCCUCGCGCGAUUGGAGCGGCCGAUGUCAGAUUAGGUAGUUGGUGGGGUAAAGGCUCACCAAGCCAACGAUCUGUAGCUGGUCUGAGAGGACGACCAGCCACACUGGGACUGAGACACGGCCCAGACUCCUACGGGAGGCAGCAGUGGGGAAUUUUGGACAAUGGGCGCAAGCCUGAUCCAGCAAUGCCGCGUGCAGGAAGAAGGCCUUCGGGUUGUAAACUGCUUUUGUACGGAACGAAACGGUCCUGGUUAAUACCCGGGGCUAAUGACGGUACCGUAAGAAUAAGCACCGGCUAACUACGUGCCAGCAGCCGCGGUAA
rnacentral:rRNA from 1 species